UUCUGGGCACUCUCUCUCUCUUCGUAGAAUCCAGGUCGGCCAGUUUUGGCUGCGAUCUUGGUGCCCUAGCCACGGCUAGACGCGUGACUGGUCAGAAAAUGAUCGGAGGAGGCCGGCAAACCAUGCCUGAGCCCAUCCCUGGCGAGCCCAACCUCCCUUCACCGUUGCGAGUUCCAGGAACCUUCGAGGGUUUCGAGUUUUCCGACACCUUUUUCGGCAGUUCCGACGGCCGUUGUCACCGAUCCAGGGAAAGUAUGUCAAACAAACCACACUGUUGUGAUUCCCUUGUUACCAUCUUCAUGCAUGGACUGCCAAAAGGCCGUUCUGAAUUUUCAUCAUCGUUAACUGUUUCACUUGCAAUGUCACUAGCUUCGGGAGUUUCCUCAAGGAAUUAGUUUUGGUACUCAGGUUCUUUUGGACUCUCCUUGAUGAUGUCUUCUGACCCAAUUUCAGGAUAUACUUUGAAUAUAUCAGAAUUUCCUACUUCCGGCAAGUGUGUCUCAUCUGUUUGUGUGAUAAGUGGAGUGUCUGGUUUACUAGGGGCCUCAUUUGCCUUCUUCCCUACUUCAAGUCCAGCUUUUUCUUCAUGAUCAUCUGUCACAAAUGUCUUUUGUAGCUUGUCCUCAACACACUCUUUAGCUUCCAAGGUUGCUUCAUCAUUCUUAAUGUCAGGACUUGCAACUAUUGUUGAGAUUGAGUCAUUCUCUGUAUUUUUAUUGCUGUUGAGUAUUGAUUUUGAGUGGUAUAGAGUGGUACACUUUUAUCGUACCUAUUAUGCAAAUGAAAUGAUGUAGUUGUUAACUUCCAAUAAGUGGUAUGAACAGUUGUUAUACUAUUUAUACCUUGCAAUUGAGUUGAUUUAUAUAACAUAGUAUUAACAAUGUACUUUUAUGA